AACGAACGUUGGCGGCGUGGAUGAGGCAUGCAAGUCGAACGUGAAAGCCGCAAGGUGAGUAGCGUGGCGGACGGGCGAGUAACACGUAAUCAAGCUGCCUGCGAGACGGGGAUAACUUCGGGAAACCGAAGCUAAGACCCGAUGGUCUACCGAGACUGCAUGGUUUUGGUAGUAAAUGGGCGGGAUCCUUCGGGAUCGCCUGCUCGCAGAGGUGAUUGCGGCCCAUCAGCUAGUUGGUAGGGUAAUGGCCUACCAAGGCAACGACGGGUAGCCGGCCUAAGAGGGUGGUCGGCCGCACUGGGACUGAGACACUGCCCAGACUCCUACGGGAGGCUGCAGUCGAGAAUCUUCCGCAAUGGGCGAAAGCCUGACGGAGCGACGCCGCGUGGAGGACGAAGGCCUCGG
rnacentral:rRNA from 1 species